UGCGUAGGUGGCCGUGGAAGUUCGGUGUGAAAGCUCGGAGCUCAACUCCGAAACGUCAUUGAAUACUCUACGGCUGGAGGGUCGGAGGGGAGACUGGAAUUCUCGGUGUAGCAGUGAAAUGCGUAGAUAUCGAGAGGAACACCAGUGGCGAAGGCGAGUCUCUGGACGACACCUGACACUGAGGCACGAAAGCCAGGGGAGCAAACA
rnacentral:rRNA from 1 species